UUCCCGUAUUUAGUUACUCAGAAUUGAUUAUUUUCGCAUUGGGCCCAUAUCAGGUAAAACAAGCACGAUCAUAUUAUGGCGAACAUGUUCGACAAAAUGGCUUGUAUGAAAUUGAAAUAUGUCCUGAGCUGGAACACUCUGAAGAAAUGGUUGCGGCCGUUGGAGGAAAUAGACCUUAUUUAUUAAGGGGUCGAAUCCAGUCGCGCCAUGUUGGUCGGCGUAAAUAUUUUACGUAUAUUUUAAUUGACACUCAGCCCUCGAGUAGUAAUUGCUUAGAUGCAAUAUUAGGUUACUGUUGCAACUGUCUCGUGGGUAACAGAACAGUGGGAUGCUGUUGCCACGUUAUGGCCAUAAUAUGGUAUUUGGGUUGGGCUAGACACCAAGACAAUAUAUCGCCGCCAGCAUCAUUCUUAGACAAUAUAUUACUUGUAAUUGAAGAAUAAAACAUUUAACACUUAUACUGCUUUUUUAUUUUAUUCGAAACUUGUACUCAAUCGCCACAAACCUUGAAUGCAGCAAUAGAUCAGUAUUUUAUCAGUCAGAGAACAUUAUUUUACCCCAUUUAAUUGAAACAACCUAAGUAUUAGAUCUGUUAAUAAAAUAAUUAUUGUAAAUGCUUACAGAUCAGACAUUACCUACCUAAUACAAAUGUUGGUAUUUUUAUUUGCCUUUAAGUCAAGCAGUUAAUUGAUGUCAAAUAUAAAAAUAUAGUUUAAUACAACCCGUUCUAUUUUAUCACAAUAUGCUUUUAUAAUCUCAUCAAAAAUACCCAUUUGUUGUGAGUCUAACAACAGAACUCAAUAUGGAAAGAGACUAAUCUCUUUCCAUAUUGAGUUCUGUUUACUCGAGUACAAGUUUUGCAUCGAACCUAAUCGUUUUCACAUUUAUAUUGACACUAUACUAUGGAAACAAGACUAGUAGGUAGACGUAGGCCAGAUCAGUGUCCUUUUAUACUUAAAUAUAAGUGAUGAUCAUGAAGUUCCUAAUAAAAAACUAAUAGCAUUGCUGUCCGUAAACGAUACAAUGCAUAUAAAAUAUCAGUAGUAAGUUAUCAUGUUUAAUAUAGAAUUACUUGUGAAUCGGUGCUUUAAAUGACAUAAAAUCUAGAUAUUAUAAAAAUACUAUUAAAAGGCUAUCAUAUGACAUAGGGCUGCAAUUUGGGCAUCGCAUGACAGUGCUGACUUUUAGCUCCAUACUAAUAUGGGCAUGGUCCUUUGGAUUUAUCUCAGAAGGAAAUUGUGGAAGAUUGUAUGUAUAAUUAAACUAUUUAAUGGCAUUUUAUUUCCUUUGCAUAAGUUCUAAAGUAUUCUCCGUUGUGUUACAGAUGUAACUACCAAAAACUUUUUAGAUGUAGAACGAGUACUUCCUGAACCCGAGCAGCCAAUGAAGGAAAACAUUCCCAACAAUUUGGAACUAUCAAGCUCAAACCAGUUUGAUACAUCCACCCCCAAAGCAAUGCUGAGACAGCCUGUAUCAAAAGAGUUGUCAUUUAACCAGAAGAAGAGGAAAUCGGUAUUUACUCCUUUGGAGACAAGGAAAAAAAUUGUAAUGCAUGCUGAGAAAAAAUCGACUUGCUUAAUAAAAAGCAAGGUAGAGAAAUAGAUUUGGCCCAAUAUGCCAAAGAAGAGCACGAGCUAAACAUGAAGCAUAAAAGUGAACUUCAUGUACUAGAAAUGAAAUUCAAAAAUAAAAUGUACGACUUAAUUUUAGAAAAAUGUCGGUAUGAGGCAGUAAAAGCAAAAAUAGAAUUAGAACAAAUGCAAAAAUAAUUCUAAUUGUAAGUGUAGUGUAAGUUAGCUAUAUUUUUCUUUUGUUUUCCAAAUAAAA